rfam:Sporolactobacillus laevolacticus DSM 442 Contig020, whole genome shotgun sequence.
UAUAAAUUGAAUGAACAACCGUAGACAGCAGGGGCAUUGUACAUGCUUAAAUUAUCCCGGCCGAGGUUUAGCAAAUUCUUGAUAACUUUUGGUUUGAUAGAUCGCGCCCUCGUGUCUCCGGACAGAGGGCUUUUUUGAUGGGCCU